GUCUCCUUAGCUAAGUGGUUAUAGCAUGCGAUUGCAGUUUGCCACGGGUAGACAUAACCGGGGAGACAGUCAUCGCAGGGUCCCGUGUUCAAAUCACGGAGGGGACU